UACGGGGGGGGCAAGCGUUGUUCGGAAUUACUGGGCGUAAAGGGCGCGUAGGCGGGUGGACAAGUCUCUCGUGAAAGCCCACGGCUCAACCGUGGAAUUGCGGGAGAUACUGUCUGUCUUGAGUCCGGGAGAGGAGGGUGGAAUUCCCAGUGUAGCGGUGAAAUGCGUAGAUAUUGGGAGGAACACCGGGGGCGAAGGCGGCUCUCUGGACCGGUAAUGACCCUGAGGCGCGAAAGCUAGGGGAGCAAACGGG
rnacentral:rRNA from 1 species